rfam:TPA: Bos taurus chromosome 3, whole genome shotgun sequence.
UCCCUGGUGGUCCAGUGGUUAAGACACUGCACUUUCAAUGCAGGGGGCCCAGGUUCGACCCUUGGUCAGGAAA